GGGACCUUUCUCACCUUUCUGCUUUAGUAAUUAAGUAAAAUUACAAAAAAAAAAAGAGGAGGUACAAACAAUUUCCUUAAUUUCUGGUAAAAGGAGAAAAGUUUUCUCUCACCAUAUGUGGCGCACUGAUUGUAGCCUUGUAUCCUAAAAGGAAGCCAGGUGACAAAAGUUACGUGACAGAGAUGUGACGGCAGUAAGGUUCAAAUAAUGACUAUCUCCCUCCCCGUUCCCUAGAAGUAUGAAAACAUUUUUCUUUCACCUCAUUAAAGCACUUCGUUGGCUCAUAAUCUCCUGUAGGAUAACUAAUGAGACCAAGACAGCUUUCCACUGCUGCAGUUCUCAGCUAUUCCAACUUCUAGCCCCCAGCUCAUUCAUCAAAACGCUCUGCAACUACCACAGGCUGUGCAUGCCUCUACUCCACAAGUCGAAUUCAGAGCAAACAACGCACAUUUUGAACAGCCCGUGCUGUUCUUUCCUCUGGGUCCCACUGUUGAAAUAGGGAUGAGAGCCACUCUUCUUGACCUGUCUUAAAAGCUCACCCGCUGAGUGUGCUUCCAGCACGCAGAGCUCAGGGUGACCUCAGGCCCCUCCUACCACCGUGCCUUGCACAAUCAGCGUGAACACCAUGCAAAGGGCGACACUGGAAGCUACUCACCAAUCGACUGGGGGGAAUCCAUGUACGGGAAAUACUUGAUGUAGUGACCUCUGUCAGUAGCCAGCAACACAUCGAAGACUCGCUGGGAUUUAAUGAUUCCUUUCUUGUAGAGGUUGUUGACCAGCUCGGGGUGCGUCUUCCCGCUGGAGGUCCAGGCCAUGCUUCUGGAGAACAGCAGUCCCAUCAGUGCCAGCGUCACGCAAGGCAGCAGGCGACUCAUCCCACAGCCGGCCGCGCAGCCGCACCGGGCCCCGCUGCCCGUUGCCAGGUGUAACAACUU
rnacentral:lncRNA from 1 species